ACCUUUGGGAGGCGUGCGCGGAGCCGAAAUCAAUACAUAGAGGCCCUUUUGACACUUGAAAGAAAUCUAAGGGGUACACCGAGCGGAUUGUCCUUGCCCGUGUCAUGGGACGCACGCACAAACAGCACCCGCCAGGAUGUAAGGACUAUUGGAAGUUGAUGGAAUCUAAAAUUAACUAGGCUGAUUGGGUGAAAGCGAUGGACUAGGUACUGAGCUAUGGGAUAUAAUACCGGAAGCCUGCCUAAUAAAACGGUAGGUAUGCAAUUUAAUUUUCCACAAAAUGGUGUCGUUUAAUUGAACGUAUUUAAUGAACACAUGAUGAGGUGAGUAUUUCUCUCACCUAAUGCGUUCAUCGCCGCAAGUGCAAGGACACCACGUUGCCAGGCGACUAUUAUUUGCAUCACUUUUGUAGGAAAAAAGGUAAGGUUUCCUCUUAAAGCUUGCAAUUACCUUUUUUUUUGAGGCUUAUUAAAACAACCUCAAACUAAAUUACAUCCGUAACUUUCACGAUUACGUUUACUUAUACAAAUAUUUGCGUGAUAAAAUUGCGUUUCAUUUUUAACAUAAUUGCUUCUACAAUUCUGUGCGUUUCAGCCAUUCGGUGUGGUGGCAAUUUCGCGGUGUGCAUUUUUAAAUUUAAUAUAUCUUUGUACUACUUGGUUUACUACGGACACUCUUGAGGAUAACAUCGGGCUGAAUUACAGAGGGAAAAAACAUUACCUACCGUCAACACUCAGUCAGCAAUAGAGGGCAUUGAAUCGUUCCUACGUGAAUAAGUAUAUUAUGUAGGAACGUAUGAUAAUUAUGAGGUACUUCUGAACUCAAUGAAAUGAGCUCGUCAGCGGGUCAAAUUUAUACGCGUAAUUGCCUCAUCGUGUAACUGCCGAGGACUCGACUGCACUAAUAAAAUGACGUACUCCAUGAAAUGACUGUAUGAAUACUUAGGUGCAGAAUAUUGUUUCCUUGUUGAAAUAGACGAAUAAACACAGACAACUUAUAUAAAGUGAACUUAAGGAAAUCUCCAGCAUUCGGAAUUAU